rnacentral:rRNA from 1 species
UAUUGGUCAAUGGACGCAAGUCUGAACCAGCCAUGCCGCGUGCAGGAAGACGGCUCUAUGAGUUGUAGACUGCUUUUGUAUUAGGGUAAACUCAGGUACGUGUAUCUGUUUGAAAGUAUCGUACGAAUAAGGAUCGGCUAACUCCGUGCCAGCAGCCGCGGUAAUACGGAGGAUCCAAGCGUUAUCCGGAUUUAUUGGGUUUAAAGGGUGCGUAGGCGGUUUUAUAAGUUAGAGGUGAAAUCUCGGGGCUCAACUCCGAAAUUGCCUCUAAUACUGUAGGACUAGAGAGUAGUCGCGGUAGGCGGAAUGUAUGGUGUAGCGGUGAAAUGCUUAGAGAUCAUACAGAACACCGAUUGCGAAGGCAGCUUACCAAACUAUAUCUGACGUUGAGGCACGAAAGCGUGGGGAGCAAACAGGA